rnacentral:lncRNA from 1 species
CCAAAAUGGCCACUCGAGUUCUAAAUUAUGUAUUGUUACAUUGGUCCAAUUAGUUAAAAAUGUGCAUGAGACUGAACUGUAAUUUUUAAGUGUAAAACCCAGACAGAGGAUGCUCCUGAGAAAUUUUAACAGAUUGGGAUACCAUUACUCAAAACCAGAUCUUCAGAAAGCAGAAGAGCACUCACCAGGAAGGACAACGCCUUCAUAAAAAUGACAACAAAAAAACAGAUCCUGAGUAAAGUCAGACCAAAAGCCAACCAGAAGGAGCUUGGAUCUAAGAGGAGACUCCCUGAACCGAAAGGAAAGAGAUGACCCAUGGAAGCAGAGAAACAGCUCAGGAGCUCAUGGUGCAAGAAAAAAGGCUAGAAGAGCUAGAAGAGGAGUUUUGCGAGCUUCUUCUGCCCCGGCCAGAUGCACAGAAAGGUGUUACCAAUUCCCAGAUCCUGGUGAGUUUGGGUCCCAGCUUCCUCUCAAGUUAGGACACCUGUUAUAAUGGUAGAGUUAAAUCUCUCACCCCAAACUAUCCUAGGAAUCUUCAGGAUAGAGAAAAUCGAAUAUGCUUAUAGGGACACUGAGAGAAAAGGUAAAGGAUGUUAGGAGUUUGGGUUUUAGUUCAAUUCUAUUUAUUUAAGGGGGUGGGAAGUUGGUGAACAAGUCUUUCAUUCUCCUAUCUACAUGGCAGUGAACUGAAUUAACUAGCAUGUUUGUAUGAAUCACUAACCAUAAAAUCACAUCAAGAUAGGUAAAAUCAGUCUUAAAAUAUUAAAAAGGGGUACCUGGGUGCUGCAGUAAGUUAAGCAUCUGACUCUUGGUCUGGGCUCAGGUCAUGAUCUCAUGGUGGUGGAACUGAGCCCCAAGUCAGGCUCUGUUCAGCAAGGAGUCUGCUUAAGUUUCUCCCCCUCCCUCGGUCCCUUCCCACCUGACCCCUGCAUUUGCUUGCUCUCUCUCUAAAAUAAAUAAAUAAAUCUUUAAAAAAAUAUAUCUUUA